AUUGAACGCUGGCGGCAGGCUUAACACAUGCAAGUCGAGCGAGCGGCGGACGGGUGAGUAAUGCCUGGGAAACUGCCUGAUGGAGGGGGGGAACUCCUGGAAACGGUAGCUAAUACAGCAUACCAUCAGAUGUGCCCCGAUGGGAUUAGCUGGUGGGUGGGGUAACGGCUCACCAAGGCGACGAUCCCUAGCUGGUCUGAGAGGAUGAGCAGCCACACUGGAACUGAGACACGGUCCAGACUCCUACGGGAGGCAGCAGUGGGGAAUAUUGCACAAUGGGCGCAAGCCUGAUACAGCCAUGCCGCGUGUGUGAAGAAGGCCUUCGGGUUGUAAAGCACUUUCAGCGGGGAGGCGUUACCCGCAGAAGAAGCACCGGCUAACUCCGUGCCAGCAGCCGCGGUAAUAC
rnacentral:rRNA from 1 species